rnacentral:rRNA from 1 species
AUUGAACGCUGGCGGCAUGCCUUAUACAUGCAAGUCGGACGGAAGCACAGAGAAGUUUGCUUCCUGGGUGGAGAGUGGCGAACGGGAGUGAAACAUAUCGGAACGUACUAUGCAGCGGGGGAUAACUAAUCGAAAGAUUAGUAAAAACCGCAUAUCUUCUGAGGCAGAAAGCAGGGGAGUAAUUGGCGUUGUGCCGUUUGAGUGGCCGUUAUCGGAUUAGCUAGUUGGUGGGGUAAAGGGUUACCAAGGCGACGAUCAGUAGCGGGUCUGAGAGGAUGAUCGGCCACACUGGAACUGAGACACGGCCCAGACUCCUACGGGAGGCAGCAGUAGGGAAUUUUGGGCAAUGGGCGAAAGCCUGACGCAGCCAUGCCGCGUGUGUGAAGAAGGCCUUCGGGUUGUAAAGCACUGUUAUCAGGGAAGAAAAAAUGUGUAUUUAUACCCGUAUCUGAUGACGGUACCUAAACAAUAAGCACCGGCUAACUACGUG